AUAUUGGGCAAUGGGCGAAAGCCUGACCCAGCAACGCCGCGUGAAGGAAGAAGGCUUUCGGGUUGUAAACUUCUUUUACCAGGGACGAAGGACGUGACGGUACCUGGAGAAAAAGCUCCGGCUAACUACGUGCCAGCAGCCGCGGUAAUACGUGGGGAGCAAGCGUUGUCCGGAUUUACUGGGUGUAAAGGGCGUGUAGGCGGAGACGCAAGUCAGGAGUGAAAUCCCCGGGCUCAACCCGGGAACUGCUUUUGAAACUGCGUCCCUUGAGUAUCGGAGAGGCAGGCGGAAUUCCUAGUGUAGCGGUGAAAUGCGUAGAUAUUAGGAGGAACACCAGUGGCGAAGGCGGCCUGCUGGACGACAACUGACGCUGAGGCGCGAAAGCGUGGGGAGCAAACAGG
rnacentral:rRNA from 1 species